AAUGAACGCUGGCGGCAGGCCUAACACAUGCAAGUCGAGCGGAUGAGAGGAGCUUGCUUCUCGAUUCAGCGGCGGACGGGUGAGUAAUGCCUAGGAAUCUGCCUGGUAGUGGGGGACAACGUUUCGAAAGGAACGCUAAUACCGCAUACGUCCUACGGGAGAAAGCAGGGGACCUUCGGGCCUUGCGCUAUCAGAUGAGCCUAGGUCGGAUUAGCUAGUUGGUGAGGUAAUGGCUCACCAAGGCGACGAUCCGUAACUGGUCUGAGAGGAUGAUCAGUCACACUGGAACUGAGACACGGUCCAGACUCCUACGGGAGGCAGCAGUGGGGAAUAUUGGACAAUGGGCGAAAGCCUGAUCCAGCCAUGCCGCGUGUGUGAAGAAGGUCUUCGGAUUGUAAAGCACUUUAAGUUGGGAGGAAGGGUUGUAGAUUAAUACUCUGCAAUUUUGACGUUACCGACAGAAUAAGCACCGGCUAACUCUGUGCCAGCCGCCGCCGUAA
rnacentral:rRNA from 1 species